AUUGAACGCUGGCGGCAGGCCUAACACAUGCAAGUCGAGCGGAUGAAGGGAGCUUGCUCCUGGAUUCAGCGGCGGACGGGUGAGUAAUGCCUAGGAAUCUGCCUGGUAGUGGGGGAUAACGUCCGGAAACGGGCGCUAAUACCGCAUACGUCCUGAGGGAGAAAGUGGGGGAUCUUCGGACCUCACGCCAUCAGAUGAGCCUAGGUCGGAUUAGCUAGUUGGUGGGGUAAAGGCCUACCAAGGCGACGAUCGGUAACUGGUCUGAGAGGAUGAUCAGUCACACUGGAACUGAGACACGGUCCAGACUCCUACGGGAGGCAGCAGUGGGGAAUAUUGGACAAUGGGCGAAAGCCUGAUCCAGCCAUGCCGCGUGUGUGAAGAAGGUCUUCGGAUUGUAAAGCACUUUAAGUUGGGAGGAAGGGCAGUAAGUUAAUACCUUGCUGUUUUGACGUUACCAACAGAAUAAGCACCGGCUAACUUCGUG
rnacentral:rRNA from 1 species